ACCUGUCAAAAAGUUGUUUACACUUUUUUUAUUCAUGUUGUCCAAUCCUGUCUAAUCCAUCUUACCGAAUUGAUUACAAAAGUUUUCUCGUCAUUCUUUUCAAGGAUUUAAAAAUUUGAAUAAGUUCUUCUGUACUUAACGGUUUGAAAUAAAAAUGAAGAUCUUGACUCCAGUGGAAGUGGAGGCGGCAAGCAGGACAAGCAUUAUCGAAUCAACCGACCAGUCAUCAUUCAAAGCCCAUCGGCUGUCGGAAUCCAAAACUAGAACGAUUAGAGGGAUGUCUUGAUUUAGUUGUUUGUUAAACUAUUGACUGAAAAGGAGGGGACAUUUUUUCGAGAAGAUCGGAUGCACAGGAGCGUUGAAAUUCAACAAAUGUCUUUAGAACUGCGGAAUUCAUCUGGCCAUAUUAUUCAUAGUAACUAAACAAGCAAGUUACUUACAGGAACAUUUGAGCGUUUCAUAUUUUUGAUAAGAUUAGUUUUAUUGAUAAGGAUACUUUUGAAUGAUUUUCCAAACUGGUUUGUUUUUUUUUCCUGCGAAUAAACAGAAUGCGUUUUUUUUUUCAUAUAA